UAAUGAUGUCUUUUUAAUGGGUAUUUUGAACCACAAAAUAUGAAAUCAUUCCAUCUUUUUUUUUAAAUUGUAGGUAUUUGAAGAAAGAAGAGCUCUGCUUGGAAAAUGGGUGAGCUGGCAUUGGAAGAAUUUAACUGAACUGGAUCAGCUCUGGAUGCUAAAAUGUUUACGGUUUAACUGGUAUAUCAAUGUCUCCCCA
rnacentral:lncRNA from 1 species